CAGUAGCCGCGGUAAUACGAAGGGUGCAAGCGUUAAUCGGAAUUACUGGGCGUAAAGGGAGCGUAGGCGGACUGUUAAGUUAGAGGUGAAAGCCCAGGGCUCAACCUUGGAAUUGCCUUUGAUACUGGCAGUCUUGAGUAUGGAAGAGGUAUGUGGAACUCCGAGUGUAGAGGUGAAAUUCGUAGAUAUUCGGAAGAACACCAGUGGCGAAGGCGACAUACUGGUCCAUUACUGACGCUGAGGCUCGAAAGCGUGGGGAGCAAACAGGAUUAGAUACCCCUGUAGUCCCUGUCUCUUAUAC
rnacentral:rRNA from 1 species